ACUUAGUGGCAGACGGGUGAGUAACAUGUGGGUAUCUACCCUUUGGCCUGGAAUAACACGAGGAAACUUGUGCUAAUACCGGAUAAGUCUUUACGGAGAAAGCUUUAUGCACCAUUGGAUGAGCCCGCACUUGAUUAGUUUGUUGGUAGGGUAAUGGCCUACCAAGACUAUGAUCAAUAGCUGAUUUGAGAGGAUGAUCAGCCACAUUGGGACUGAGACACGGCCCAAACUCCUACGGGAGGCAGCAGUGGGGAAUCUUGCACAAUGGAGGAAACUCUGAUGCAGCGAUGCCGCGUGAGUGAAGAAGGCCUUUGGGUUGUAAAGCUCUUUCGUCGGGGAAGAAAAUGACUGUACCCGAAUA
rnacentral:rRNA from 1 species